GACGAACGCUGGCGGCGUGCCUAAUACAUGCAAGUCGAGCGGACGGAUGGGAGCUUGCUCCCAGACCGCCAGCGGCGGACGGGUGAGUAACACGUGGGCAACCUGCCUGUAAGACUGGGAUAACUCCGGGAAACCGGGGCUAAUACCGGAUAACUCUUUCCCUCACAUGAGGGAAAGCUGAAAGAUGGCAUCUCGCUAUCACUUACAGAUGGGCCCGCGGCGCAUUAGCUAGUUGGUGAGGUAACGGCUCACCAAGGCGACGAUGCGUAGCCGACCUGAGAGGGUGAUCGGCCACACUGGGACUGAGACACGGCCCAGACUCCUACGGGAGGCAGCAGUAGGGAAUCUUCCGCAAUGGACGAAAGUCUGACGGAGCAACGCCGCGUGAGUGAUGAAGGUUUUCGGAUCGUAAAACUCUGUUGUCAGGGAAGAACAAGUACCGGAGUAACUGCCGGUACCUUGACGGUACCUGACCAGAAAGCCACGGCUAACUACGUG
rnacentral:rRNA from 1 species